UAGUCUAGCGGAUGACGGGAGCUUGCUCCUUGAUUCAGCGGCGGACGGGUGAGUAAUGCCUAGGAAUCUGCCUGGUAGUGGGGGACAACGUUUCGAAAGGAACGCUAAUACCGCAUACGUCCUACGGGAGAAAGCAGGGGACCUUCGGGCCUUGCGCUAUCAGAUGAGCCUAGGUCGGAUUAGCUAGUUGGUGGGGUAAUGGCUCACCAAGGCGACGAUCCGUAACUGGUCUGAGAGGAUGAUCAGUCACACUGGAACUGAGACACGGUCCAGACUCCUACGGGAGGCAGCAGUGGGGAAUAUUGGACAAUGGGCGAAAGCCUGAUCCAGCCAUGCCGCGUGUGUGAAGAAGGUCUUCGGAUUGUAAAGCACUUUAAGUUGGGAGGAAGGGCAGUAAGCUAAUACCUUGCUGUUUUGACGUUACCGACAGAAUAAGCACCGGCUAACUCUGUGCCAGCAGCCGCGGUAAUACAGAGGGUGCAAGCGUUAAUCGGAAUUACUGGGCGUAAAGCGCGCGUAGGUGGUUUGUUAAGUUGGAUGUGAAAGCCCCGGGCUCAACCUGGGAACUGCAUCCAAAACUGGCAAGCUAGAGUACGGUAGAGGGUGGUGGAAUUUCCUGUGUAGCGGUGAAAUGCGUAGAUAUAGGAAGGAACACCAGUGGCGAAAGCGACCACCUGGACUGAUACUGACACUGAGGUGC
rnacentral:rRNA from 1 species